UAGGAAGGCUAUGCAUGAUGGGUACAAAAAUCGAUAUAGUUUCAUUAAGGAUGGAAGGACCAUUACUCUUGUGCCAUUAACACCGGCGCAAGUCUAUGAGGACCAAUUAAAAUUGAGAAGUGAGGAAGAGAGGAGAGCAAAAGAGUUAGAAAAAAUGAGAGCAAAUAGUGAGUUGGAGAAAAAGAGAGAAAAUGUUGAGAUAGCCAUUAGAGAGAAAAAGAGAGAGCAAUCACAAGAGAGAAAAGAAAGAGAGUGCCCCGAGAGAAGAGAGAAAACACGAGCGAAUUUCUUUGCAAAAGAGAGUGAUUUGAGGAGGGCGGUAGUUGAGAGAAAAGAGAUGAUCUUGUUCGUUUAUAAGGAAUCACUCCUCAAUUUUGAGGAAACUAACCCACCCCUCCCUAGUUUGGCUAAGUCUUUGUUGCAGGAAUUCGACGAUGUAUUUCCGGAGGAUGCACCAAGUGGAUUGCCGCCUAUUCGAGGCAUUGAACAUCAAAUUGACUUCAUACCCGGAGCUGUCAUUCCAAAUCGACCGGCUUAUCGAAGUAAUCCCGAGGAGACUAAGGAGCUUCAAAGGCAAGUGGAGGAGUUGAUGAGCAAAGGAUACGUGAGGGAAAGCAUGAGUCCUUGUGCGGUACCGAUUUUGCUUGUACCAAAAAAGGAUGGAACAUGGCGAAUGUGCGUGGAUUGUAGGGCUAUCAACAACAUAACGGUAAAGUAUCGUCACCCUAUACCUAGGUUAGAUGACAUGCUUGAUGAAUUACAUGGUUCUUGCAUAUUUUCUAAAAUUGAUUUAAAAAGCGGGUAUCAUCAAAUUCGUAUGCGG
rnacentral:lncRNA from 1 species